GACGAACCGCACGAACGUUAUUCGGAAUCACUGGGCGUAAAGGGUGCGUAGGCGGUUCGGCAAGUCGGGUGUGAAAUCCCUCGGCUCAACCGAGGAACUGCGCCCAAAACUACCGCACUUGAGGGAGAUAGAGGUGAGCGGAACUUAGGGUGGAGCGGUGAAAUGCGUUGAUAUCCUAAGGAACACCGGUGGCGAAAGCGGCUCACUGGAUCUCUUCUGACGCUGAGGCACGAAAGCUAGGGUAGCGAACGGG
rnacentral:rRNA from 1 species